CGGUGCCCACCGACCUGAGGCCUGGUCUUGGCCCGCGGUCGCUCCGCCCUGACCGGCUGCGGGACCCUGGCCAGGCCCUGCCGCUUCUGAGUUGCCCUUUUCGGGGCAGCACGGGCUCUUUCUGCCCUUUUUCAAUCAGACCAUUUGUUGGGCAUGCACUGUAUGCCAGGCACUGUGCCAAGCGCUGAGAUUCGGGCGGUGGACUUCGUGAUCUGCCUCUGGCAAUCUGUAAUUCCAGGGCCAGGCUUCCCUCAUCUCUGAAGACUGACUGGACAGGCGUGUUGGAGGGCAGGAAAAGUUCACCACUGUGCCAGAAUGGCUCCAGAUAACUUAAAAGGUGUGCAUCCCAAGUGGAAGCCUGUGAGGGACCCUGAAAGCAACUUGGACAGAAGCAUGUGCAUCACUGGACCCAGCGCCAGUCAGGUGGUGGAAGCUAUCAGGAAACACUCAUUGACAAGAGUUCACGAAACGGACUUUGAAAACUGAGCCUUCUCCAAGGAGGACAUACUCCCCAGAGACCAUCUCAGAUGUGGCCAUGAAUGAUAAUCAACAAGGAAGAACUUCUCAGAGGGCACAGCCAGGAGCACAGAGAACAACAGGCAAAGGAGCCCGUCCUAGAGAGCAAAACCAGGGUCUACAGAAGAACUAGAUGGUGCCCGGCUACCACCAAUGACCACCCUGACAGGGAACACAACAGAGAGUCCCUGACAGAGCAGGAGAAAAGUGGGUGCAGAACUCAAAUUCUAGUAAAAGGACCAGACUUAAUGGUUUGACUGAGACUGGAGUGACCCUGGAAGACAUGACCCCCGGACUUUCUGUUGACCCAAAAUUAAAACCAAUCCCGAGGCCAACUCUUCAGACAAAGAUUAGACUGGACUAUGAGACAUAAAGUGAUACUCAUGAGGAGUGUGCUUCUUAGCUCAAGUAGAUAACAUGAGACUAAAUGGGCAGCUCCUGUCCG